GCCUGGAUGGUUCAGUCAGUUAAGCAUCUGACUUCAGCUCAGGUCAUGAUCUCGCGGUUUGUGGGUUCGAGCCCCGCGUCGGGCU
rnacentral:tRNA from 1 species